rnacentral:SRP_RNA from 12 species
CAGACCAUUCAGGAGAAGAUCGAGCGUGCCGUGGAGAAGGUUGUGCAGCUCCAAGAUCGACGCAGGAAGGCGAUGUCAGAGGGGCGCAAGAAGGGGGGAAGGAACAGGGGAAGAUAGGAAGCAGCGAA